CCGUAAUCGGAAUGAGUACACUUUAAAUCCUUUAACAAGGAUCCAUUGGAGGGCAAGUCUGGUGCCAGCAGCCGCGGUAAUUCCAGCUCCAAUAGCGUAUAUUAAAGUUGUUGCGGUUAAAAAGCUCGUAGUUGGUUCUGCGUGCCGCGCUGUCGGUUCGCCGCCUGUCGGUGUAACUGGCAUGUCGCGGCAUGUCCUGUCGGUGGUGAACGGGGUCCACAAUGCUGCAAAGGCUUUUAUAGCCGAUGUUAGCGUCGUGUGCACUUCCGUUGGCCGAUCUCUCCUACUUCGGUGCUCUUAAACGAGUGUCGAGGUAGGCCGACACGUUCACUUUGAACAAAUUAGAGUGCUUAAAGCAGGCUGAAAUAUCUGCCUGAAUAGUGGUGCAUGGAAUGAUAAAACAGGACCUCGGUUCUAUUUUGUUGGUUUUAGGAAUAUGAGGUAAUGAUCAAUGUGGACUGGCGGGGGCAUUCGUAUUGCGACGUUAGAGGUGAAAUUCUUGGAUCGUCGCAAGACGCACUAGAGCGAAAGCAUUUGCCAAGUAUGUCUUAAUUGAUCAAGAACGAAAGUUAGAGGUUCGAAGGCGAUCAGAUACCGCCCUAGUUCUAACCAUAAACGAUGCCAGCCAGCGAUCCGCCGAUGUUCCUUUAAUGACUCGGCGGGGAGCUUCUACCCGGGAAACCAAAGCUUUUGGGUUCCGGGGGAAGUAUGGUUGCAAAGCUGAAACU
rnacentral:rRNA from 1 species